rnacentral:tRNA from 1 species
GCGGUAAUGGUAUAAUGGCUAUUACGUUAGCCUUCCAAGCUAAAUAUGUGGGUUCGAUUCCCACUUACCGUACCA